rnacentral:rRNA from 1 species
UACGAAGGGGGCUAGCGUUGUUCGGAAUCACUGGGCGUAAAGCGCACGUAGGCGGAUUUGUAAGUCAGGGGUGAAAUCCCGGGGCUCAACCUCGGAACUGCCUUUGAUACUGCAAGUCUCGAGUCCGAUAGAGGUGGGUGGAAUUCCUAGUGUAGAGGUGAAAUUCGUAGAUAUUAGGAAGAACACCGGUGGCGAAGGCGGCCCACUGGAUCGGUACUGACGCUGAGGUGCGUAAGCGUGGGGGAGCAAACAGGAUUAGAGUACCCCGAAGUA